CAGCAGCCGCGGGAAUACGAAGGGUGCAAGCGUUAAUCGGAAUUAAUGGGCGUAAAGCGCGCGUAGGUGGUUUGGUAAGAUGGAUGUGAAAUCCCCGGGCUCAACCUGGGAAAUGCAUCCAUAACUGCCUGACUAGAGUACGGUAGAGGGUGGUGGAAUUUCCUGUGUAGCGGUGAAAUGAGUAGAUAUAGGAAGGAACACCAGUGGCGAAGGCGACCACCUGGACUGAUACUGACACUGAGGUGCGAAAGCGUGGGGAGCAAACAGGAUUAGAUACCCCCGUAGUCCCUGUCUCUUAUAC
rnacentral:rRNA from 1 species